UAAAAAGGUGGGGAGCAGUUCUCGCGAUAUCGGCCGGGAUUCGGUCUUUUUCCGGCAAGGCCUGCGACAAAGAUGGCGGAAGUGGAGCAGAAGAAGAAGCGCACGUUCAGGAAGUUCACCUAUCGAGGUGUGGACCUGGAUCAGCUCCUUGACAUGUCCUACGAGCAGCUGAUGCAGCC